CGAGAAACGGUCAACAGUUAUUUACGAGCUCUGAUUUUGAUUCAUUCUGAAUAAAAAUUGAGCUUAAUCAGAAAGAUUGAUUUCAGAGCUAUUCUUCGAGCUGUAAUCUGUUAGAUCAGAUGCUUACCAAGCCUGUGCCGUCGCUCUUUACAAUCUAACGCAAGCCUCUUCAGAGCUCUGGGAGAAUGUGGGGGUCUCACAAUAGUUUUUAUGCCGCGUAUUAGCUGAUGUAUAAUUUUAUGGACUCGACUUGUUAAACUUGUAGUUGUCCUUACUAUAUAUUGGCAUGCAGUCAGAA